GCCUGUUUAGCUCAGUGGCAGAGCGUCGCUCUCGUAAAGCGAAGGUCACAGGUUCAAUCCCUGUAGUAGGCA
rnacentral:tRNA from 1 species